rnacentral:rRNA from 1 species
AUACGUAUGUCGCAAGCGUUAUGCGGAAUUAUUGGGCGUAAAGCGAGUCUAGGCGGCUUGUUAAGUCAGAUGUGAAAAUGCGGGGCUCAACUCCGUAUUGCGUUUGAAACUGGCAGGCUAGAGUACUGGAGAGGUGGGCGGAACUACAAGUGUAGAGGUGAAAUUCGUAGGUAUUUGUAGGAAUGCCGAUAGUGAAGACAGCUCACUGGACAGAUACUGACGCUAAAGCUCGAAAGCGUGGGGAGCGAACAGGAUUAGAUACCCGGGUAGUCC